ACGCAUUGACUGUGCGCCCAGACUGUUGAAAAACUUAUUUCAGUAUCCCACUGUAAAAAAAAAAAAAAAGGAAAUAAGAUAAAGUCCUACACAGUGACUAAGAAGUACACAAUGACUAAAAUAUCCCGAUCCAAGCCAAGGAGAGGUGAAUCGUUUACAACGGGGUCGCUGUCUCUGCCUGUCCAAAUGGCCGAGUGGAACUCCCUUAGGGCCACCUCAGACACUUCGAUAAACCUCUCCGGGACCUGGAAAAAGGAGAAAAAGGC